rnacentral:rRNA from 1 species
UACGUAGGGUGCGAGCGUUAAUCGGAAUUACUGGGCGUAAAGGGCGCGUAGGCGGCGCAACAAGUCACUUGUGAAAUCUCCGGGCUUAACCCGGAGCGGCCAAGUGAUACUGUCGUGCUAGAGUGCGGAAGGGGCUACUGGAAUUCUCGGUGUAGCGGUGAAAUGCGUAGAUAUCGAGAGGAACACCUGCGGCGAAGGCGGGUUGCUGGGCUGACACUGACGCUGAUGCGCGAAAGCUAGGGGAGCGAACGGG